rnacentral:lncRNA from 1 species
AGGAUAGCUGUUAAUGUUCUGUAACAUGGGCGACCAUUUAGAUAGCUUUACGCCAGUGAAGUGCACUUGAAGUGUAAUCUCCUUUGCUCGAUCUUUGGCAUCUCUGCUUGAUUGUUGAAACCUUCUGUUGUUCCUUUCCAUCCAGAUGUUGUAAACUACUACUACAAACACCACACCUAUGAUGGUUUUUCUGGGAUUCUGCUGUUAACAUUAGCAGUUAACCAUUGGACUUCUGUUUCCUAUGUGCCUGUCGUUCUUUGAUAAUUCAACCAUUGUAACAUACCUUGCCACAAUGUUUUGGAGUAUAAGCAGUCAAAG